GCCGGCGGUUGACGUUCCGGGGGCUGGGGUGCCCGGCGGGGGGAGCUGGCCGCAGGGUGGCGGCUCUAGCCCCCGUGGACGCCGGCUUGGCCCCGAUGGAGGCCAGCCUGACCUGCGCCGUCUGCCUCGGCCUCUUUGAGGAUCCGGUCACGCUGCCGCUCUGCUCCCACAACUUCUGCAAGCGCUGCGUGCUGGAGUGCCUGGCCUCCGGGGAGCCCGGCCCGCCCCCCUCGCCCCGCGCGGGCCCGGCCCCGGCCCCGCGCUUCUGCUGCCCGCUCUGCAGGAAGCUCUGCCCGCUGCCGCGCGGCGGCUGCGCGGCGCUGCCCGUCAACACCACGCUGGCGGAGGUGGUGAGGUUGUACCGGGCCGGCGGGGGCAAGGCGGGGCCGGGGCGCGGCGAGGCGGGGGCGCUGAGCCCCCCGCCGGCGUUCGGAGCAGCCUGCGAGAAGCACCCGGCCCGCCUGGUGCAGCUGUACUGCCGGAUGUGCCGCCAGGCGGGCUGCGGCCAGUGCGUGUCUGAGGAGCACCAGGGCAUCUUCCACGCCGUCAACCUCCUCGACACCGUGUACCAGGAGGAGAAAUUAACCUUCUUUAGCAGCCUGAAGAAACUGAGAGCAAUAAAUGAGAACUUGGUGAAGGAACUAUCAAGUCAUCCAAAAGAUACUGAGAUCUUGAACAAAGAAGCAGAGAUAAUUAUGUUGGAAUUUGAAGACAUUUUCAAAACUCUGGAAAUGAGAAAAAAGGAAUUGCUAGAAGAUAUUGAAAGUCAGAGAAGUAAGAAAGAAAAAGAAUAUCAAAUUUGGAAGAAAAUGAAGGAAACUCACAAGAAAACCAUUGAGAGUUUCCUGAAGGAUUGUGAAAAGCUUGUUGAUGAAUGUGAUCCUGAGCGUUUCCUGGAGGUGGCAUGUGGCUUGAAUAAAAGAAUGAAGACUCAGCUUGACCUGAUGCACAUAGCAUGUAGCUAUGAAAAAUCACCAGAGUCUACCCAAAAGCAAAUGGAUAUCAAAUCUGUGAUUAAUGAAAUCUUGGCCUUACAGCUGACUUCAGUUGAUUCAUGCGUCGUUAAAGAACUUUCUUCUGGAGGAAAUGAAGGCUUAACAGGAAAGUAUGCAUAUAAAAAUAGUGCAAAACAAUGGAAAGAUCAGAAAAACAUACACAACACGUAUUAUCCUGUAGUUGGACAUGAGGAAACUUUGACUGACGGUAGUAAAAUCUGUACUCGCUUAAUGUCAAUAUCAGAAAUGUCAACGUUUCAAAACAUGAGUCAUGAGGAAGUACGUUAUAAUUAUUAUAUGGGUCAUCGGACAUCAGGUCAGUUGAAGAUGCAGACUUCACCUGCAAAUACGAAGCAUACAUUUGUGAUAACUGAUUCUUCGAAGGAUAUGUUUUCAGCAGUUCCCCUUCUGUCCUCACCUCCCAAAGUGAAAGAUGCACAGAGAAUAAGAACACAAAAAUUACAAAAAGGAAGUUUUAGUAACACUAGUUUUUCCAGUUCCAGUAGUUACAGAUUCAGCUUUCCACCUGUGAACUGGAAUUUCUCUGAAUUGAACAGUGACUUGAAGUUAUUUAAUGGAACAAGAUCUCCGGAAGUAAGCAAACUAACCUCCCCAUCAGAAAAUUUCAAUGGCUUGGUAAUAAAAAACAAAGUAAAAAUGGCUCAAUCCUCACCUGUUCCCAUUUCUGCAAAAACACUAGCAAGUCCUAGCACUUCAACUGGCUUACCAGAAUCAGCAACAAAACCUGUUCCUGUUUCAAAACCCACCUUUUUAGGUGCUCCCACACAGAGCCUUUCUGCUCAACAUUUUAUCCCCAAUUCGGGUAAUAACUCAACCGUAUCCAAUUUAAAUAUGGCUGCAGCUACAUUUUUCUUCAAAAAAGAGAAGAAUAAUUCGGUUUUCCCCAUUUUUUAUGUGGGAAGGGGGGAUACUCAAGAUGAAAUAGGCAAUCAACAUGGAAAUUGUACGAAGUUUAACUCUUCAGCUUUAACUGAGGCUAAAGCUGCUGCUGCCUCUACAAGUCCUAAACUAGAGUCAUCAGAAAGUGGAAAGCCAGUUUUUUCAUUUACCUUUAGCAAUUCAGAAAGAGAUUGUUUUACAGUAUCCAAACUCAGCAAUUCAUUGAAGAUUUCACCAUUUUCCAGCCUAUCUGAGAAGCCAGCUGAACAAAGUACAAUAUUUCAGACCAGAAAAGAGAACGUUUCUGUAAGCAAAGACGUAGAAUAUAACUGGCUAAAAUCUCCUACAGUAGUCCCUCAGGAGCAGAGUACCAGUACCCCAGAUUCCACUGCUACUAUAGCCUGUACUACAUCUAGUAGUGACACUGGAAAGAAAGAUGUUUCCAAGACCCAGCCUUUCCCCUGUAAUAACAUAUUUUCCUUCUCAUCCAAUAAUUGUAUUCUGGAAUGUAAAUCUUCACCUGUAAUCUCAUUUGAAGGCACUGUCAAAAGUACUUCCAACUCACUAUCUUCCUCCUCGAUGCUGUUUUUAUCUAAUAAUAAUAAAAGUGAAAAAAUGAAAAUAGAAUCAAUUGACAAUGCACAUCCAGUUGUAGAAAAAUCUACACCUCCAAUAUGUACAGUGGCCAUAUCUAAACUUACAAGUCCGAAGUGUAGCAAUUCCUUUUUUUCUUUUGACCUAUCUAUGAAGACUGAAACUGAAGACACUCUUGCUCAACAGAAUUCUUUGUGUGGUCCGGCUGUAGUCAGCUCUCUAUUUUCAACAGGCCUUCCUAGUAAAGAAAGUAAUGUAUCUUCCACUCAUCCUAGUGUUGCAUCAACUAAACCUCAAAUAGAUGUGAAAGUUGAAGAUAGUUUAAAUAUUGCUGAAACCUAUAAGUCUCACCAAGAUUUAGAAGAGAUUUCUAGGAAGGAAGAUGAACUUGACACUCUGCAGUUACAGAACGCAACUUGUCGAACUCCAGUGACAUGUGAUGAUGCAUUUUUAGGAGGCUCGGCACAUGCAGUAGGUAAAGAACAUGAAACACUAAAUCAUUCAGAUUCUGAUAUAGAAGAGCUAAGUCAGGCAUCAAUGUCUAGUGACUGUAGUAGUGCAUCAGAAUAUUUUUCGGUUGCAGAAGACAAAACAGCUAGUGAAAAAACAGGUACAUGCACCAUAGAGAAUGAAACAGAAGAGAAUUCCCUUCAAGGCAAAGAUGAUAACAGGUACCCACAACAGGUACUCCAUCCUUGAAAUGAUGGAAUUAUAAACAGAGUAAAUUAGGUACAGGCGGUAGCUCAACAAGUGAAAGGGGGAAGAGAAAUGAUCCUGACUGGUGAACAGACAAUAUGGAGCAGCUGUAGAAAAUCACUGCUACACAAGUGCUCAAUCCCUGUUUCUGCAUCAUCCCUGCCUUGUUUUAACCUGGGCAGGGAAACUGGUUUCCUUGCAAGAUGUCAUGAAGUUCCUUUCUUGGUAGUUGUAGAAGAUCCAAGGCUUUCUUCUCUUACACUUUCAACAUGCUGCCAGUACCUCUUUACUGACUGUAGCCACCUAAACAAAAAAUAAUGCAUUUGCUGGAAAAGUAGUGCAAUGUAACAUACCUGCACAAAUGAUUCCUUUUUUGAUAUUCUAAUAAACCAUUGUGAACUCUUCAAACUAGCAAAAGCAAACUGCAGACUUCUCUGAUACUCUGGAAAUACUAUGAAAAAUAUCCCUUUUAGUAGAAUAAUAACAAGAAUAAGAGAACAAAAGACAUUGUGUCAUUAUGGAAUAAAUUCUUCCCUGUUAAAUUCCUCAGAUAUGAGGAAAUCCUUGAAUGUAGUAGAACUGAUGAAAUUUCUCUCUGUUGGAUAGCAGGCAGUGGGAAGCCUGCAGCUAGGGUCUUAACACCUAAUAUAGGCUAGGGUCCCAGCUCUGUAGGGCCACCCUAUGCCCUGGCAGAUGGGGUGUUGGCCAGAUGAGUGGGGGAAGAGGAGGAGCUGGAGAUCCACAAACAUACAGAUCCACUAACUAAAGGCUCCUGCAGCAGCUAAGGUUAUAAUAGCAGCUACAGAGUAGCUCUCGAUCUUCUACAUGUUCUGCGAUGUGGAUUGUCUCCCUUGACCCAGAUGGACCUCUUGGUUUAUGCAUUAGGUUCAAGGAUUGACCCUUAUAUAAAUACAACCCACAGAAUGUGGAAAGUUAUUCCAGAAACUAUAUCCAGUGAACUGUGCUGAAUUCCCUUCUUAUUGUCUCCUGGUGAAAAACUCUGUGGGACUGCAGAGGGUGCAGGGUAUGCAGCCCAAGAUCAUGUAAAUUGCUUGAUAGCAAGGUAAGGCCCUAAAGAUGUGUCUUCAAAAUACACAGAUUAAAAAAAGUAAAGCAAUUCAAAUCAAAUAAGGCAACUCAUUUUGCACUUUCAAGAAAAUAAAGCAUUAUAUUUACUCAGUAAGAUGUUUUGGGUUACUAAUAGUUGCAGAGAGAGCCAAAAAUGGACAUCGAAUCAUAACUAGAAGGUGCUCCCAAACUUCUGCUCCAAUUUCACCACCAAGACAAUGGACCUGUUAUUGGACAUAAUAUUCACUUUUAAAAAUGGAUGUUUCACAUUAGAAAAAACCCUCAUUUUUUACUUUCUAUACUGUGCAGUAGAUUUACAAUAUUUUCCCCACUGUCCUACCAAUUUUCCAAGUCCUAACAAAGUAAAUUAGACUCUUCCAGCACACCGCAGCAGGCUGCACUUCCAUAAAGUUCUUCGGGAUAAAUAUUCACUAUUUAGAGACAGGGUGUGAUGCUGGCAAACCAGGUCAGAUUGGGGCCAUAGGCUAAUUUGCUUGUGUAUUAGUAUAGAUCAAAGUGAGUAAUAUAUAUGUGUGUAUUCAGAUGUUUAAACUUCAUGAAAACUAAUGUAAUGUUACUUGUUGUAUUUUCACUUAUCUGUUCCUGUUAUAAUAUAAUGGCAAACAUUUACAUGUUGUAUACCCUGUGAUUAAAUAACCCAUCAGAGAAAUCUUGUGAAAUGCUAAUGAAGGACUUAAGGAAUUUGCUAAUUCCAAAUCAAAUGGCCAUUGUGGUAAUGACCUGAGGUCAGAGACUCAAAGUGGAUUCCACACUCAUCCUUAUCAAAAGAAAAGCCCAUGUGGGUAGAGACACUGUCAGCUUGCUUUCUGUGUGAAGAUAUUAUAAAUAUGGAUUCAAAGAAAGAUCCUUUACUCUGGACUGUUUGGAUUCUAACAGGGCAGAAUAACUGAACGAGAAGACAGAGAUCCCCAGAGUUAUUCUGGGUAGCCUCUCGGGGUAGCUGAGAGGCUUUGGGAAACUGGCAGAUUACUGCAUCUCUGCUACAAUUUGCACUGACAAACUGUGACUUACCUGCUAAUAUAUUUUCUCUGCUUUA